rnacentral:rRNA from 1 species
CGGGACGGGUGAGUAAUGUCUGGGAAACGUGCCUGAUGGAGGGGGGUAACUACUGGAAACGGUAGCUAAUACCGCAUAACGUCGCAAGACCAAGAGGGGGACCUUCGGGCCUCUUGCCAUCGGAUGUGCCCAGAUGGGAUUAGCUAGUAGGUGGGGUAACGGCUCACCUAGGCGACGAUCCCUAGCUGGUCUGAGAGGAUGACCAGCCACACUGGAACUGAGACACGGUCCAG